UGCAAGUCGAACGGACAAUUAUUUAUAGCCUCUGGCUAUAGGAAAUUGUUAGUGGCAGACGGGUGAGUAAUGCGUAGGAAUCUACCUAGUAGUACGGAAUAGCCAUUAGAAAUGGUGGGUAAUACUGUAUAAUCCCCGAGGGGGAAAGAUUUAUCGCUAUUAGAUGAGCCUACGUUAGAUUAGCUAGUUGGUGAGGUAAUGGCUUACCAAGGCUAUGAUCUAUAGCUGGUCUGAGAGGACGAUCAGCCACACUGGAACUGAGAUACGGUCCAGACUCCUACGGGAGGCAGCAGUGGGGAAUAUUGGACAAUGGGCGAAAGCCUGAUCCAGCUAUGCCGCGUGAGUGAAGAAGGCCUUCGGGUUGUAAAACUCUUUCAAUAGGGAAGAUAAUGACGGUACCUAUAGAAGAAGUCC
rnacentral:rRNA from 1 species